rnacentral:rRNA from 1 species
UACGUAGGUGACAAGCGUUGUCCGGAUUUACUGGGCGUAAAGAGCGCGCAGGCGGUCGAUCAAGUCGAGUGUGAAAGCCCCCGGCUCAACUGGGGAGGGUCAUUCGAUACUGAUCGACUCGAAGGCAGGAGAGGGUAGUGGAAUUCCCGGUGUAGUGGUGAAAUGCGCAGAUAUCAGGAGGAACACCGGUGGCGAAGGCGGUGGUCUGGGCCGGCACUGACGCUGAGGAGCGAAAGCGUGGGGAGCAAACAGG